rnacentral:tRNA from 1 species
GGCCCGGGGCCUCAUUCCGACGGCUCGGGAGGGCGGGUGCAAACCGCUUGGCUACCGGUUCGACUCCGGCCCGGGUCU